AUGCGAACCGACUUCACCCUGGCCGAUCUUGAGCGCCUGAGCUCCCACCUGUUUGCCUUGCAUUGGCUCCCUUCUAGUGGGAUCGCCGGGCACUCUGGUGGCAUCCUAUUAGGUGUCAAGGAUGCCACCUUUGAGGUUGGGAGCAUGGAUAGGGGUGAGUUCUUUGUGAGCAUGGAAGUCUUCGAGCGCGCGCUGAACUUUAAGUGGGAGAUCAUUAUAGUCUAUGGCCCCGCCGACCACAGUCGCUCGGUGUCCUUCCUCGACGAGCUCUCGAGGAAGGUAUCCGCGGCCCGCUUCCCGGUCGUCGUCGGUGGUGAUUUCAACCUUCUCCGCUCUGCGGAGGACAAGAAUAACGGCUUAGUUAACUUCCCGCGCAUGCAGUUGUUCAACGAUUGUAUUGCGGACCUCGGGUUGCGGGAAUUAGAUAGGAUUGGUGCUAGGUUCACCUGGACCAACCGCCAGGCCGACCCAACGCUCUCUGUGCUGGAUCGGGUCUUGGUUUCUCCUGAGUGGGAGUUGAGGUGCCCCCUUGCCUCCCUCUGCGCCAUCACCCGUAUUGGCUCGGACCACGUUCCCCUUCUUCUAUCCUCUCUGGAUGAACGCCCUCCCUCUGCCCCCAGAUUUCGCUUCGAGAUGUUCUGGCUUAACCAGAACGGUUUCGUUGAGGCUGUGCGUGGCCGCUGGCUGGAAGCCCGCCUUGCAUCUCACCGAUCCAUCUCGGCGGUGGAUGACUGGCACUUCUGCGCCAAGCGCGCCAGUCAGUUCAUGAAGGGCUGGGGCGCGAAUCUCGGAAGGGACCUCCGUCUCCGCAAAAAGGCCCUCCUUGACUCCAUUCAGACCCUGGAUCUUCGGGCCGACUCGGUGGGCCUCUCUCCUGACGAGUGGAUGCAGCGUUAUGACCUUGAAGACCAGCUUAUGGUCAUAUACACCGACGAGGAGGCGUAUUGGCGCCUUCGAGGUACCCAAAAGUGGGUUCUCCAGGGUGACGCCAACACCGCCUACUUCCAGGCAAUCGCCAAUGGCCGGCGGCGACGUAACACUAUUCCCCUUCUGUGGGAUGGCGCGACGCUCCUCCAGCGGCCCGCUGACAUCCGUGCCCAUGUUGACGGCUUCUAUCGAGCCCUGUUUGCAGCCCCCCUAGGGGGGGCUUAG
rnacentral:rRNA from 1 species